GUGAAUAUAGCGCAUCUCUUCGGAGAGCGUGACCUCCACUUUCAACUCUGUGCAUUUUUUGGCGAGGGGGAACGAGACGAAGCGACGCAAGUUGCAGACUCUCGCCUCUUGCGGCUCAUUUUAAACACUAGUUAAAGUAUGUAACGAAAUAUCGAAACAAAAA
rnacentral:misc_RNA from 1 species